CAAUAGCGUAUACUAAAGUUGUUGCGAUUAAAAAGCUCGUAGUUGGAUCUCAGGCAUGGGCGCACGGUCCGCCUCGCGGCGGUCACUGUGUGUUUUGUUUCCCAUCCUACGCUUCCCGGUUAUCAGCCCAUGGUGCUCUUCACUGAGCGUUUUGGGUGGCCGGAACGUUUACUUUGAAGAAAUUAGAGUGUUCAAAGCAGGCACGUCGCCUGAAUAAUGGUGCAUGGAAUAAUGGAAUAGGACCUCGGUUCUAUUUUGCUGGUUUUCGGAACACGAGGUAAUGAUUAAGAGGGACAGACGGGGGCAUCCGUAUUGCGGUGUUAGAGGUGAAAUUCUUGGAUCAUCGCAAGACGAACAACUGCGAAAGCAUUUGCCAAGCAUGCUUUCAUUAG
rnacentral:rRNA from 1 species